CCUACGGGUGGCAGCAGUGGGGAAUAUUGGGCAAUGGGCGCAAGCCUGACCCAGCAACGCCGCGUGAAGGAUGAAGGUUUUCGGAUUGUAAACUUCUGUCGCGAGGGACGAAGAAUGACGGUACCUCGUAAGAAAGCCCCGGCUAACUACGUGCCAGCAGCCGCGGUAAUACGGAGGGGGCAAGCGUUGUCCGGAAUGACUGGGCGUAAAGGGAGGGUAGGCGGCUUAGCACGUUAAAUGUGAAAUCCCGCGGCUUAACCGCGGGACUGCAUCUAAAACUGGUGAGCUGGAGUGCAGGAGGGGCGAGUGGAAGUCCUAGUGUAGCGGUGGAAUGCGUAGAUAUUAGGAGGAACACCAGUGGCGAAGGCGACUUGCUGGACUGUAACUGACGCUGAGGCUCGAAAGCGUGGGGAGCAAACAGGAUUAGAUACCCUAGUAGUC
rnacentral:rRNA from 1 species